AAUAUUUUGAAAUUGCAACCUGAUACUCAGAUAUAUGACGUCUCAUACAGGAUGUGAAGAACUUGGAGAAGAAGUUUAAGGAAGGCAGUAGCUUACGCGUCCGUAUACUUGGAGGGCGGAAUCUUGAAGGGGUUGCACUAGGCACCGUAAAAAGCUGAAGAGAAUUUACCAAACACACUGCGGCAAGCUCUAAUUUAUAAAGUUCUUGGAUUCCCAAUACCUUCAUUUGCCCAUGUGUCACUUAUUCUGGCACCUGACAAAAGCAAGCUGUGGAAACGUCAUGGAGCUACUUCUGUGGGGCAGUAUAAAGAGAUGGGCUAUCUACCUCAGGCAAUGGUGAAUUAUUUAGCACUGCUAGGCUGGGUUGAUGGGACUGAAAAUGAGUUCUUCACUAUUGAUGAUCUAGAUGAAAAAUUCACUAUUAAUCAUGUCAAUAAAAGCAGAGCAGUCUUUGAUGCAACGAAGUUAAAAUGUCCCAGAUGAUCUUUCUAUGCACUCAAGGGGAGAGGGUUUGGCGAUGAUACAGGCACAUUGGUUGUUUUCAUGAUUAUGUUUUUCAGGCACUCCUAGAAUAUGAACGAAAAGAAACAGAAUACUUGAUGGAAUGUUCUGAUUAUAAACAGAAUACUUCAGAUUUCAUGAUUCAGAAAAAAGAAGUUGAAUCCAACUGAUGAUCUAUUUUGUUCAAUGAUUUUAUUUGAACUAUCUGGAAUUUUUUUGAUGCCUUUAUUGGUACAGUAAGGCCAUGGUUUCUCUAUGAUAUUAUUUGAGGUGCAACUUGGGUGAAUACUAGAUGCGAGGAGAGAGACAUUAGUUUGGAAGGUCAAUUUGUAUGGAGGAGGCCAUUUUCUUAAAUAAGUAUCCUAUUGUCUAGCUGAAGAUUUAGAAGGUCUAUACACUUGAGGUUUGGUUAACAUUUAUGAAUUUUUAUAACUGUGACAGGCUAGGCAGGAUUGCUUAGAGGGUAUUGCUCAUUAGAAUUUGCCCAAAUUGAAUCUUGACCUUAUAUGUAAAGAAACAAUUUUGAUGACAAGGCCAAAGGAUUUAUAUACUAUUUGUACUGAAUUACUAAUUUAGAAUAUGGGAAAACUAUUUCCCAACCUUGUCAUACCUGAUAUAGGGCACCUAUUAAUCCUAAGAAAACUUAAAAUGUAUAUUACGUUUGUGAUGGGAGGCAUCUGGUCUAAUUUUAGAGGUGCUGCAUUUACUUUUACUAGCAUAUGUAAUUAGUACAAGAAGAUGCAGUAAUUUAGUUUAGGAACUAUACACAUUAUCUAACUUUCGAGACAUUUGGAGUAACACUUCAGUAGAAUUAAUCAAAUGAUAUGUCUGUUCAAAUAAGCUUUGUCAUGCUAAUUACAUUAUAUCUUUUCAUAGGAGCAUGAAACAACAUACCAGGUUGUGAUAGACUCACAUUUGCUUAGCUGAUAUUCAUGCAUGCAAUUUCCACUGAGUUACCAAUUUUCAUGGAUGCGGACUCCGAUGGUAUUGUUCUCCCUCCGUCAUAAAUUUUUAUGUUAUAUAUGUUGUGUCUAGAUACAUAUUGUAGAAUCUGAUGCACUUGUGUUUAAAUUGAUACCUUGUUUUUGGCACCUGCUUGCUUUCGCUUGUUCAAUACGCUGUACAUGUGGCUAAUGUUGUUCUAUUUUAUGAGUCUUCUUCAGAGCCUUACGGGAAUCAAAGGUUUAUUUGAUGCUAGAGUUUAUAAGAUUACAAGGCAGCUGAAAAGCUUCUAAUUGGAUCCUUUUAAUUGAUUCGUGCCUAAAGCUUCAGUGUGUUUGUGCUGAAAAUCGACAGCUCACAAAUGGAAGGGUAAACUUUAUUGGGACAGAUGAAGAGAUGUGCUGGAGAGAGGAAGAACAUAAAAACUAUGGAGGCUAGACCGUUAGUGGCAGCAACAACAGAAAAGGUUGGAAGUGGCGUUCAUGGAGGAAAAGGUUGUGGACAGCGCGCCAAGGAGUUGCUAUCAUAAUUGUGGUCACGACGUGCGGUCCAGCAGUCCAGCAGUCUAGCAGCAUAUUGUGGUCACGACGUGCCUGUGUCACGUGCUAAUAUGGAGGUGGAGAGUCUACAUAGGGAUUCAGGGAUGGAAGGCACUAGGAGAAAGGAGAGAGGGUCUGGUGCUCUCUGCCAUAGUGCUAUGCAGAUGAUCAUAAGAGCUAUUCAUUUAUUUUUUGAGUCUUGGCAAAUUUUUUUUGUGAUUUUGCAAAAUACUAGUGAAAUAUUUGUAUAAGCAGUUAUCACUGUUUUAGUAACUGAAAAUUGUUCUCCUGUAGAUACAUAUAUGUAAAUAUACACCAGCAAUUAAUUGUCAAUUUCACAACUUAUUUUAUGAUCAAGAUGUUUAAUUUUAUC